UGAGCCUCUAUUCUACAACUCAACAAAUGC
rnacentral:piRNA from 1 species